GCGUAUCCAACCUUCCGUACACUCAGGGAUAGCCUUUCGAAAGAAAGAUUAAUACCUGAUGGUAUGAUGAGAUUGCAUGAUAUCAUCAUUAAAGAUUUAUCGGUGUACGAUGGGGAUGCGUUCCAUUAGGUAGUAGGCGGGGUAACGGCCCACCUAGCCAACGAUGGAUAGGGGUUCUGAGAGGAAGGUCCCCCACAUUGGAACUGAGACACGGUCCAAACUCCUACGGGAGGCAGCAGUGAGGAAUAUUGGUCAAUGGACGAGAGUCUGAACCAGCCAAGUAGCGUGAAGGAUGAAGGUCCUACGGAUUGUAAACUUCUUUUAUAAGGGAAUAAACCCUCCCACGUGUGGGAGCUUGUAUGUACCUUAUGAAUAAGCAUCGGCUAACUCCGUGCCAGCAGCCGCGGUAAUACGGAGGAUGCGAGCGUUAUCCGGAUUUAUUGGGUUUAAAGGGAGCGCAGACGGGUCGUUAAGUCAGCUGUGAAAGUUUGGGGCUCAACCUUAAA
rnacentral:rRNA from 1 species